CGGGUGAGUAAUGCUUAGGAAUCUGCCUAUUAGUGGGGGACAACAUUCCGAAAGGAAUGCUAAUACCGCAUACGCCCUACGGGGGAAAGCAGGGGAUCUUCGGACCUUGCGCUAAUAGAUGAGCCUAAGUCAGAUUAGCUAGUUGGUGGGGUAAAGGCCUACCAAGGCGACGAUCUGUAGCGGGUCUGAGAGGAUGAUCCGCCACACUGGGACUGAGACACGGCCCAGACUCCUACGGGAGGCAGCAGUGGGGAAUAUUGGACAAUGGGCGAAAGCCUGAUCCAGCCAUGCCGCGUGUGUGAAGAAGGCCUUUUGGUUGUAAAGCACUUUAAGCGAGGAGGAGGCNUACUGGGAUUAAUACUCUAGGAUAGUGGACGUUACUCGCAGAAUAAGCACCGGCUAACUCUGUGCCAGCAGCCGCGGUAAUACAGAGGGUGCGAGCGUUAAUCGGAUUUACUGGGCGUAAAGCGUGCGUAGGCGGCUUUUUAAGUCGGAUGUGAAAUCCCUGAGCUUAACUUAGGAAUUGCAUUCGAUACUGGGAAGCUAGAGUAUGGGAGAGGAUGGUAGAAUUCCAGGUGUAGCGGUGAAAUGCGUAGAGAUCUGGAGGAAUACCGAUGGCGAAGGCAGCCAUCUGGCCUAAUACUGACGCUGAGGUACGAAAGCAUGGGGAGCAAACAGGAUUAGAUACCCUGGUAGUCCAUGCCGUAAACGAUGUCUACUAGCCGUUGGGGCCUUUGAGGCUUUAGUGGCGCAGCUAACGCGAUAAGUAGACCGCCUGGGGAGUACGGUCGCAAGACUAAAACUCAAAUGAAUUGACGGGGGCCCCCCACAAGCGGUGGAGCAUGUGGUUUAAUUCGAUGCAACGCGAAGAACCUUACCUGGUCUUGACAUAGUAAGAACUUUCCAGAGAUGGAUUGGUGCCUUCGGGAACUUACAUACAGGUGCUGCAUGGCUGUCGUCAGCUCGUGUCGUGAGAUGUUGGGUUAAGUCCCGCAACGAGCGCAACCCUUUUCCUUAUUUGCCAGCGGGUUAAGCCGGGAACUUUAAGGAUACUGCCAGUGACAAACUGGAGGAAGGCGGGGACGACGUCAAGUCAUCAUGGCCCUUACGACCAGGGCUACACACGUGCUACAAUGGUCGGUACAAAGGGUUGCUACCUAGCGAUAGGAUGCUAAUCUCAAAAAGCCGAUCG
rnacentral:rRNA from 1 species